rnacentral:rRNA from 1 species
UACGUAGGGGGCUAGCGUUGUCCGGAAUCAUUGGGCGUAAAGAGCGUGUAGGCGGCUCGGUAAGUCCGCUGUGAAAGUCCAGGGCUCAACCCUGGAAUGCCAGUGGAAACUGUUGAGCUAGAGUCCGGAAGAGGCGAGUGGAAUUCCUGGUGUAGCGGUGAAAUGCGCAGAUAUCAGGAGGAACACCAAUGGCGAAGGCAGCUCGCUGGGACGGUACUGACGCUGAUGCGCGAAAGCGUGGGUAGCAAACAGG